AGCGACGGUUUGAAGGCAUCUACUGCAUUCAAUCUUCGACGUUUACUGUCCCAUACCAAAACAAUGAAAUGGUCAUAACAGCGCCUCUCCACGCCCAUGAUUGUGCCCCACUUGUCGGUGCGUAGGCGGCUAUGAUAUUCUAGCACCAAUGUUUAUCAGGUGCACAAUUUGUGAACGCACUUUCUUUGUUGCCUUGCUUUUAGGCUUAUGGAGGUUUUUUUUGUUAUGUUGCUAGUGUAACUUUUCUUUCGUCUGUGUACCCCUGUUUAAGGGGCGUGUUUAGAGAUAGUGACACCCGGUGCGGUCCGCACACCUCCUGCACCCCAAAAGGAUCGCCACUGAAGCAAACGCCUGAAACUGAUUAUAGUGAUGACACACUCAUUUUCCUAUAUAUAACUGCAGGUGUGAGGAUGGAGGUCGGGUUUGUCAAUCACUGGCGCCCAGGUUCUUCUGUCAUGUGUUGGUUCCACAGGUAGAGAAGCUAGCUACCUGGAUAGAAUAUCAUCCAUCAUCUGAAGGAAGAAGAUGACGGCUUGAACACCUAAUGUAUUCCAGUCAGCCAUGCUCACCCGUAGUCAGUCAUCACUCUAUAUCAGCUACCAUCUUCACUAUUAUCUACUUAAUUCAAUAGCAAGUGGGCACGGAUAAGUAGAUCCUUUAUUCAGGGGAGGUAGCUCAUGGCUAGUACCUUUUGAAACUGACAAAGAAAUUUUCUCCCCUUUUUUAAAAAAUAAUUCCACAGGAAUGAAGAAUGAGGAUAAAUGACCUGUGGUAUUGUUCAAGGCUAAACAAAAUUAUAAACUUCCUCUUCAUCAUACUUUUUAAAUUUUGGUAAACAAGACUAUGAAUAUUUUUAAAUUGUCAAUCAAAAGCAAUAUUCUUUUAAUUGUAUGUGUUAGCAUAACCUUUUUAAUGACUUUUGUAACACUCGAAACAUAAAGACAAAUCAACACAAGAACUUUUUUGUUUCUUUGGCAAUUAAGUCAUUGAGCAAUAUGUGACUCACUGUUGUAAAUUUCACAUGUAAUGUCCAAGAGAAACUGAGGUAUGGACGUAUAUUUUGUGUGCUAUUGUACAAUUGUUUGCUCUAGUUAUGUAUUGUUUUUUUUUUAAUACACAAUUGUAAAGCAAAUUUCCUCACGGAUAAUAAAGAUUAUUAUUCUUUUCA